rnacentral:rRNA from 1 species
CGUAGGGGGCAAGCGUUGUCCGGAUUUACUGGGCGUAAAGAGCGUGUAGGCGGCCAGACAGGUCUGUUGUGAAAACUGGAGGCUUAACCUCCAGACGUCGACAGAAACCGUCUGGCUAGAGUCCGGAAGAGGAGAGUGGAAUUCCUGGUGUAGCGGUGAAAUGCGCAGAUAUCAGGAAGAACACCAAUGGCGAAGGCAGCUCUCUGGGACGGUACUGACGCUGAGACGCGAAAGCGUGGGGAGCGAACAGGAUUAGAUACCCUGGUAGUCCACGCCGUAAACGAUGGGUGCUAGGUGUGGGGGGUGUCGACUCCCUCCGUGCCGCAGCUAACGCAUUAAGCACCCCGCCUGGGGAGUACGGCCGCAAGGCUA